GUUAAGAUGAUCUUGUGGCAUUACAGAACUCCGAACCAAUGUGUUUGUAUCCUUUGGAAUUGGAUAAGGAUUGCUUGGGUCGACAUUAUCAUUGAUGGCUUCAAUGUAGAGUGUGUUCUCAGGGAGUCCACUAGCACGAGCAAUGGCUGGAACAUCAACGUAGAACCACUGGAAGGAACUGGGAUCAUUUGCUGGAACAAAUAUACUGGGCUUCUCACUUCCUCUGAUAACUCCAAUUACUUCUGUGGAUUUAAGAGUUGGAACUUGAUCCUCUUCGACUUUCUUCUUUUUUGAAGAAAACAUCCACCAGGAGCUCUUUCCACUCUCUUGAGGUGGGGGCGCAGUACUCAAAGAU
rnacentral:misc_RNA from 1 species